GGUUGUUUGAGAAGUCCAACCGUGUGGAAAGGAAGAUGUUGCUGUUGCUAGCUUAGCUAGCUUUGCUUCGGACAACGAACUAACGAACGACCGUCCCGGUGCAUUGGAUGCAAGCUCACACGAGGAUAAAGGAACUGGAGGUGCUUGUGUUGACAUGACAUCAAUGAAGGUAAUUCGUCUCACCAAGUCCUCCCCUCGGAAAUGUCUGACUUGGUGUCAGUGACUGUCACACCAGGGAAGGGAAGGCUAGUGACCACAAGCUAACCUUGCUCCCAGAUGGAUCACAACAAAGCCACAGAAGAAACCUUGACCUGCCAGAGAUCCACGUAGUGAUCCACGUACUCCAGCCCCUGCCUCAUAGCUGUGGUUUGCCAUGCUUCCUUGAGGAUCCUCCCUGCCAACCACUGCCGGGUCUUAUUCCCCCUGGCAGCAAGGACUUCAUGACUUGCUUUGAGCCUGCUCUCUUCACAGGUGGCUCAGAGUGUACAUACAUACACACAUAUAUAUAGAUAAUUGGGUUAUAGUUUGUUCAUUGUGUUCAUUUUGUGUGUACUUUUCUAUGUUUUGUAUUUCUAUAAUGUCCACACGUUUUUCAAUAAAACAUGUGUCUUGUUGGUACUUUGACACUAACCUUUGUAGCGCAUACCGUAUAAUGUAGAUCUCACUUUGCAGCUUCCCAAUGUUUUUUUUAAAUGACCAA